rnacentral:pre_miRNA from 1 species
CGGGGGAGGCCGGAUCCUGGGCUGUGUCCCGGCGCCCUGUGCUUCGAAGCCUGCGCUGUUGGAUUCGCGCUCCCGGCCCGCAGCCCCCU